rnacentral:misc_RNA from 1 species
GGAUCUUGUGAAUCUUGCAGCAUGAAGUUCUAUAUGGGUUUGGGUUCUAAGGUCAAGAGGCUGUUCAUCCAAUCCCCUGCUAAGAAGCAGGUUUUGGUUGGGGAGGUCAAAGAUGGUGGAUUGGGUGUUGAGAGCAAGAUGGCUGGCAAGAGCCAUGAUUUUGGAAGUAAAGAAGAAUCCUUCUUUGAUUCACGACCAUGGCUAGACUCCGACGCUGAAGAUGAUUUUUACAGCGUGAAUGGAGAGUUCACUCCAUCAAGAGGCAAUACACCAAACCAUCAAACAAGCAUUCGAGUCGCCCCUGAUCUGAACAAAGCCCUCUUUAUCAACAAAUUUCAGCAAGCCAAAUCUGAAUCGUCAUCCUCUGCGACCUCGCCUUCUGGUAGGAAGAAACUAGCCGAGCUUUUCCAGGAAUCCUUUGAAGGAGAACAAACGAUCAAUGAAAAUACUACCGAGGCCAGUACAGAGAAUGACACUCCGUGUAGCGGCAGUGAGGCGACUCCAAGUCGAGUUUCUAAAAGGAAGAAAGAGAGGAGAGCGAGGGCCAUGAGCUGCUGCUUGCCCAGCAUGGUACACAGCUUCAGUUUCAAUGAGAGGAGGCAGAAGAUGAGCCCAGCGAGCCGCAGCGCCUGAGGUGACCUCGACUCGAAGAGAAUGUCUCCCUCCUUUCCUAGAGGAUAUACUUGAACUCAAGGAAUUAAACUUUGCUUUUGUGACCAUGAGGAGCU